rnacentral:antisense_RNA from 1 species
GAGUUAGAAACUCUGUCUCUGUAUUCCCAUAGCCUGCUUACAGACCUCCAUGACAUCACAUGAAAGAUGACGAGCUCCAUGAGGGCCAAGGCUGUCCAUUCUUGUUCACCACUGCACACUCAGGAGCAUGCUGGCUGUGCUAAUUCUAUCCUCAACAGAAUAAUUGCUGACAAACUUUCUUGCCCAGAAAAUGUCUAUUGGAAUUAUGGAGUACAAAAAAACUACAAAAGCAGUGAAAAAAAAGAAGGAUGUUUUAUUUACAUGCUAUUUCAAAACCAUUGCUUUCUUGGUAUUGUAUGUCUCUGCAGGCCCAAUAUGGCACAUCUGCAUAAGAAGUUUAGAAUUGUUCCUUAUGUUUCCUUCUAACAAACACUGGUGUUAAGUUUCAAGAAGUUGGUGAAAUGGAGACAGCCAAUCCAAAGACAGUGUUUGAAAACUGGG